AGACAAAUUAACCUGUCAAAUAAAUUCUUGCAUAAUGAAGUGUCGUUUCCCAGUCGUGCCCAGUGCCCAUUUUCUCUACAUGUUUCAAUUUAUGGUUCUGGAGGCAUUUGUGGAAUAGUACAGUAUCUGGAAGACUUGCACGUGAGGGCGGAUGCCUGUUACUCUUGAAUUUGUGUAUGUGUAGGUCUAGACUGGCACUGUCCAAUAGAAAUGCGAGAGCCACAGAGGCAAUCUGCAGUUUUCCAGUCGCCACAUUUAAAAAAAAAUAAACAGAUUGUUGAAAAUGAGCGUAAGUCAAGAUUUUGAUAGAAAAAGAACACUUAAGAGGAACUCACAAAAGAAAAAAAAAGCUGAAAGGAAAAAAGAAGCAAAAAACUCUUCAAAGAAAUGGUCUGCUUUCAUUUUUAAAAACAAAACAGUAAAAGUAAGCAGUCUUCUUCCAGGAUGAUUCACAUAAAAUUCACAGACAGGACAUUACAAAUUAUUUGCUCAAUGAAGAUUUAAUUACUUAUCAAAACAAUGAAAAUUGUUGAGGCUGUUAUUCUCAUCAAGUCCAUAACUUGAACAGUUCAGAUGAAAUCGCUGCAGCUUCGUGUUCUUUAGUGAAGGAGACUUCGUUGAGAAUGACGAAGAGUCACACACACAGUUAGCACUGGGGGGAAAAGACUGAAUAAACAACAAAUGAUGCUGGAGAAAGCCAAGAUAGAAAACAUCAACGUAAUGUUCUUGAAAGAAUAAUACAAUGUGUCCAAUAUUUAGCCAAGCCUAACGAUGCUUUUCAUAGCACCACCAACACAGUGUUUGCAGAAAACAACAGAAAAUUUCUAAGUUUUGUAAAAAUUAUUUCAAAAUUUCAUAAAACGCCAAACAUGUAAAUAGGACAAAAAAUAUUGAAACUAAUGAUCACUAUCUGGGAUAGAGAAUUCAAACAGAUGAAUUUAAUGGGUAAGAAAGCAAGAGAUAAAAUAAUAUGUAAUUUAAAAAAAAAAUACUCAGUUCAACUAGAAUGUACCACGGUCAGAAGACAUGUCGAAAAACUAACAUUUAAAAGACUGUCAAAGGUGAGCCUGUGAUAAUGGAGCUAAUAUGGUUGGUAAAUAAAAGGUUAAUAAGUACGAAGUUUGGCCGAGAAUCCAGAGAUGUUCUAUGUGACAUGUGCAGUUCACAGUUUGCAUUUGUUUCUAGGAGACAGGCCCUCCGCUGUGCCGAUAAUAAUGACGUUGUGGGACAGUAGAGCAUCCAUUAACGCGAUUUUCUAGAUAGGCCCAAAGAUGGAACAGCUUGAUGAAACUUUCAGACUCAUGGAGGGAAUACCAACGAAAUGCUGUUAGGGUCGUUAAGUUGAAUUUAGAUAGAAGAGUCGAGCAGAACCACAAACGACCCUCAAGGAGCAAGUCCUGGACUGUGGCAGAAGGUGAAGGUGAUGGUGCAUUUGCACUGUCUGCAGUUCUUUAGUGUGAACUGUUCAUUUCUAUCGAUAAGCUUAACAAAAGCUUUAAAAAAAUUCGGCUGUUUCACUUUUAAAGGAUUAAAUUUUUUUUUAAAGUUUAGAAAAACAAAAGCAAAAAUGCAUGUUAAAUACACAAGAAAAAUGACAUUCCAAUAAAAUAUAAGCAAAUUGAAACAAGGAAACAACUAUUUGCCUAAGCUGAAGGGAAAGAUUCAUCUAUAAAAAAAUCCCCAAAACAGUUUCUGUAGAGGCUCUUUUUCUGUUCAUUAUAAAUCAAAGCAUAGUACCAUUCAAAGAAAGAUUUGAACAGAAUGCAACAAGAUACUGCUGUUUUCAGUUUUCUUUAUAAUAUACCAUCAUUGAAAUUUGAAAGAAGUUAAGAUAUUCUGCAUGGAUCUAAAUACUGCUUAAGAGAUGAUGAAAAUGACUAUCAUAAAUGAUUGUGAUUUAUAUGAUCAAAUUAAAAUAUGUAAUAUCUUCUGUGAUAAUUCUUCAUCAUAAUUAAAUUGUCAUCACUGGUA